GGCUUGCGGCUCGGGUGGCUGAGCGCGCGGGGAAAUGGCCACGGGGACAGACCAGGUGGUGGGACUCGGCCUCGUCGCCGUUAGCCUGAUCAUCUUCACCUACUACACCGCCUGGGUGAUUCUCUUGAAAAGCAAAUGCAGUCCCAGUCCUCUGAAUGGGUCAGCCCCUUAGAUGGAGGAGGUGGGACGUUUGGGCUUGGGGGCUCGGCAAGGCAAGCAAGACACACCAGAGCUCUUCCCUCGAUGCCAGCCAUUCAUCGACAGUCAGCAUGUCAUCCACAAGUAUUUCCUGCCCCGAGCCUAUGCUGUCGCCAUCCCACUGGCUGCAGGCCUCCUGCUGCUCCUGUUUGUGGGACUGUUCAUCUCCUAUGUGAUGCUGAAGACCAAGAGAGUGACCAAGAAGGCUCAGUGAAGGUCCCGCAGGGAUGAGGCUGCCAGCCCCUUCUCUGCUUCCCCUCCAGCACAGGGACCAAGUGGGGGAGCCUGCAGAACCUGUCCAGGCACAGUGGCUCCUCAAGCCUGCCUGUCCUGCAGAGUCCCCAUGGCAUGGAGCUUACACCUGACUGACUGGAGCCCCCUCCCCGACUCCCACUUCCAGAAGCUAGGAGGGAGGGAUACCUGGAAGACUCCGGUCACCUCCUUCUUGCUCAGGGCCUAAAAGAUGCUGGUCCUCCCAACCUCACUCUCAGACUCCCUGCCACCUUUUCCCCUGGGUUCUGCCGUCUUGCCUCACUUCCCCUCCUGUCACAUGCUGACGUUGGACUUAGCAGGUUCUAAGGCCACAUGUGUGACCUCUCUGACUUCUCUUCCUCCACCAAGGCAGCUUUCCUUACCCUGACACAGCCCCAGACCCCACAAAGCCUUCUGGACCUGGAAAGCCUGGGGAAGGACUGACAGACCCCAGGACCAGCCCUGGGGCUCAGGGCAGCCACCCCGGGCCGCUGACCGACUGACCUCUCCUCACGGAGGCCCAGCCCCAAAGCCCCAGGGCUGGCCCGUUUGGGACAGCUGACCAAUAAACACUGAUGGUGUGUU